UCAUCUGUCUUGAAGCAGGGCCUCUGUCCUCCAAAAAGGAUCAUCUCGGAAGCCCUGCAGGGGUGAGCCAUUGGCAGCAAGACCUGGGAUAUCCCCAGCAAACCGAGACCAACAAACACCCCUGCAACUCCAGUCUCCACGCCAGAUAUUUUUCACACAGCAAUACAAGACACUGCAGGGAGAUGAUGUACCUUCUCCCAUGCCGCAGUGACAGCAAAGAUUUAAUUACCGGUGACUGAAAAAGAUUUUGGAAAACAGCAAUUAUUCUACAAUAAAAUCUGUAAAUUUUUAA